AACAGGAAGUUCCAACAUACAACUCUAAAUUUCUAUCUUUUGGGAUAAAUCGAUAUAUGGUCACAAAGAGUAUCUCUCUCUCUCUCUCUCUCUCUCUCAGCUCUAGACCAGAGGAUCCGUCCAUUACAGCUAGCAGCAAAGGUCGAGCUUGCUAGUUUCAAACAAGUACUCCCUUGAUUUGUUGUGAAUAUUUAACUUAUUUAACUGGUUUGUUUUUCCAUGUCUUAA